GAGGGUAUAGCUCAGUGGUAAGGUGUGUGCCUAGCAUGCGCAGGGUCCUGGGUUCAAUCCCUAAUACCUCUG
rnacentral:tRNA from 1 species